CACGUAGUUAGCCGUGGCUUUCUGGUUAGGUACCGUCAAGGUACCGGCAGUUACUCCGAUACUUGUUCUUCCCUAACAACAGAACUUUACGACCCGAAGGCCUUCAUCGUUCACGCGGCGUUGCUCCGUCAGACUUUCGUCCAUUGCGGAAGAUUCCCUACUGCUGCCUCCCGUAGGAGUCUGGGCCGUGUCUCAGUCCCAGUGUGGCCGAUCACCCUCUCAGGUCGGCUACGCAUCGUCGCCUUGGUGAGCCGUUACCUCACCAACUAGCUAAUGCGCCGCGGGCCCAUCUAUAAGUGACAGCCGAAACCGUCUUUCAGCUUUCCCUCAUGUGAGGAAAAGGAUUAUCCGGUAUUAGCUCCGGUUUCCCGAAGUUAUCCCAGUCUUAUAGGCAGGUUGCCCACGUGUUACUCACCCGUCCGCCGCUAACCAUCAGGAGCAAGCUCCUAAUGAUUCGCUCGACUUGCAUGUAUUAGGCACGCCGCCAGCGUUGUCCUGAGCCAGGAGUCAAACUCUACG
rnacentral:rRNA from 1 species